GCAUAAGCUUUUCUAGAAGCCCCUAUCAGGCUUCUCCUCCCAUCUCAUUGCCUGGAACUCACCUGGCCACUUUGGGCUACAUGGAAGACUGGGGAAAUGUUGUAGCUUUUACAACAGAGGAGAACAAGGAAGAAGGAGCUGGAGAGGGGCUGUUGGGAUUGCCCGUCAACAGUGUUUGCCACAGAUGGAGAGCCCAGGGUCAGAAUAAGCUCAAGUUCACUACAUCCUUCUGAAUAUCGUGAUUGGAAUUUUCUGGCACCAAGCUGUCCUGAGCUGAAAAUUCUUUAGGAGAUCCACAGGUUCCAGGAGCACCAUCUGACAUCAUGAACCAGAAGAAAUGGGAUAAAGGACCAGACGUGCACAAAUGGACAUAGAUCCUUGCAAAGCCACCUGGGUUUGUUAAGGAUCUCUCGGUCACAUGCAACAGAAAAUAACCCUGGGCAGUGUAAGCACAUUAAAGUCAUUCUGUGCUGAUCACAGUGUGAUUCUUACAGAAUUGAAGGAAGUGAUGAAUGACAGAGGUUCAUGAGGGACAGGAAUGAGUGCAGUGUGGACACCUUACCAGCAGAAAUUUGGGGCCUUUUUCUCCAGGUAAUAACAAAUCAGAUCUGUAAGUGUUCUGUUUCCAAAUACUGUCAUUCUGAAUGUCAAAACCACAUUUGAAUGUUUGGGGUUAGGUGUCCAUCUUUGGAUUAAACUGUUAGGUCACUGGGGCAAGGUAAGUAAGGUAGGUAGGUCAGGAUGGACAGAAUUUCUGAGACACACCCAUUGGCCUGAGAGUCAGUCUCUGAAAAGAAGUAUUUGUUAUGAAUUGACCAGCCCUCCCAGACCCAUUGUGUGCUAUACACCUCAUAUCCCAACACUAACCAUUACAAUUAAGACAUUUUCAAAUGCUCCCGUACAGACUGCAAGGAAAAGGAAAAUGAAUUGUGCACACACACAUACACACACACACACACAAUCCAAGGGUGAGCAAACUAAAGCCAUGUGAUGAUUUUAUAACAAAGAUGCUGAAGUUUUGUUGCUGAAUAGAAAUUUGUUCUUUGGCUCAUAGAAUGUUGGUUAUGGGCUGGUGUGACUCCCUAAACUCCUUUGUUGAAGUCCUAAUCCCCAAUAUGACAGAAAGGGACCUUAUUUGGAGAUACAUUCUUUACAGUGGUAAUCGUUUGAAAAUGAAGUAAUUAGGGUAGGAUAUAAUCCAGUACAACUGGUGUUCUUAUAAAAAGGGGAAAUUUGGACACAGGUGACAGACACAGCACAUAGGGAGAAUGCCAUGUGAAGAUGAAGGCACGGGUCUGGGUAAUGUA